rnacentral:lncRNA from 1 species
CUUUUUUAUCCUCUUAACCACUCCUUUGAAUAAUACAAAUUUAUUACAAUAACCAAUUUUCCUUGAUGCUUUUAAAGAAAUCUCAAGCGUGAGCACUUUACCCAGUGGGCUUCUUUGCCAGUGGGCACCAAUUAAGCUCUUGUGGAAUGGCAAGCAAGAAGAAACUAUAGGAAAGAUUCACCUCAGGAACAUCACAAAAUGGGCAACCAGGGAACAGUGAUUUCAAGGUAAGGGAGAAAAACACCUUCUGUUCAUGAGGAUAUUAAUAUUCUAAAACAUACAAAGGAAGCAAAUAUUUUUAAAAACCAGCAAAUUAAAACUGUAGAUAAAGUCCUUUCAAUAAAACUAAAAUAAUAUAAAAUAUAAAAUAUUUCACCCAUUUUUCAAAAGUCACAAACAAUAACAAGUAAGUUGAACUAAUGAAUGAAUAUGAUAUAUGACAAACAUCCAUCCUAGAAACCAGAUCUGCAGCCAUAAAUACAAAUAACUCUUUCCAUAAGCAAAUCCUAUAGUAGAGACCCAGAAAGAAUUAGUGCAUUAUACCUGACCACCAUUAAAUCCACUUUAAUGUGUUUUUUUUAUUUUAAAGUAUUUUAAAAUUUUAAAGUACAAAAUUACAAGUAUUAAGAAGUGCAAAAUUACAAGAU